rnacentral:rRNA from 1 species
UUCAGAGGGGGACAACAGUUGGAAACGACUGCUAAUACCGCAUACGAUCUAACCUCGGCAUCGAGGAUAGAUGAAAGGUGGCCUCUACAUGUAAGCUAUCACUGAAGGAGGGGAUUGCGUCUGAUUAGCUAGUUGGAGGGGUAACGGCCCACCAAGGCGAUGAUCAGUAGCCGGUCUGAGAGGAUGAACGGCCACAUUGGGACUGAGACACGGCCCAG